CUUAGUAUGGAAACCUACUAAGUGAGAACUUUCAA
rnacentral:tRNA from 1 species